rnacentral:rRNA from 1 species
GGGAUUCCCCUAGUAACGGCGAGUGAAGCGGGAACAGCUCAAAUUUGAAAUCUGGCCCUUGGGUCCGAGUUGUAAUUUGCAGAGGAUGCUUUUGGUGCGGUGCCUUCCGAGUUCCCUGGAACGGGACGCCUUAGAGGGUGAGAGCCCCGUACGGUUGGACACCAAGCCUAUGUAAAGCUCCUUCGACGAGUCGAGUAGUUUGGGAAUGCUGCUCAAAAUGGGAGGUAUAUUUCUUCUAAAGCUAAAUAUUGGCCAGAGACCGAUAGCGCACAAGUAGAGUGAUCGAAAGAUGAAAAGCACUUUGAAAAGAGGGUUAAAUAGCACGUGAAAUUGUUGAAAGGGAAGGAUUUAUGACCAGACUUUUUCUAGGGGGAUCAUCCGGUGUUCUCACCGGUGCACUUCCCCUAGUUGAGGCCAGCAUCGGUUUCUGUCGAGGGAUAAAAGCUUUAGGAAUGUGGCUCCCUUCGGGGAGUGUUAUAGCCUGUUGCAUAAUACCUUGACGGGGACCGAGGUUCGCGCAUUGCAAGGAUGCUGGCGUAAUGGUUAUUAAUCACCCGUCUUGAAACACGGACCAAGGAGUCGAACAUUUGUGCGAGUGUUUGGGUGUUAAACCCUCACGCGUAAUGAAAGUGAACGGAGGUGAGAGCCUUUCGGGGUGCAUCAUCGACCGAUCCUGAUGUCUUCGGAUGGAUUUGAGUAAGAGCAUUAAUGUUCGGACCCGAAAGAUGGUGAACUAUGCGUGGAUAGGGUGAAGCCAGAGGAAACUCUGGUGGAGGCUCGCAGCGGUUCUGACGUGCAAAUCGAUCGUCAAAUCUGCGCAUGGGGGCGAAAGACUAAUCGAACC